rnacentral:rRNA from 1 species
CAUGCUUUAUACAUGCAAGUCGAACGCGAAAGUGUCUUCGGACAUUAGUAGAGUGGCAAACGGGUGAGUAACGCGUGGGAAUAUACCUUAUAGUACGGAAUAGCCUUGGGAAACUGGGAUUAAUACCGUAUACGCCCUGAGGGGGAAAGAUUUAUCGCUAUGAGAUUAGCCCGCGUCAGAUUAGCUAGUUGGUGGGGUAAUGGCCUACCAAGGCAACGAUCUGUAGCUGGUCUGAGAGGAUGAUCAGCCACAUUGGGACUGAGAUACGGCCCAAACUCCUACGGGAGGCAGCAGUAGGGAAUAUUGGACAAUGGACGAAAGUCUGAUCCAGCAAUGCCGCGUGAGUGAUGAAGGCCUUAGGGUUGUAAAGCUCUUUUAGUGGGGAAGAUAAUGACGGCACCCACAGAAAAAGCACCGGCUAACUUCGUGCCAGCAGCCGCGGUAA